AAGGGAUAGAAAAGUGGCCUUAUGAAGCUGCUGCUGUGGCUUUUGAGGCUAUACCACGGACAUUGGCAUAGAAUUGUGGGGUUAAUGUGAUACGGACCAUGACUGCACUCCAAGGAAAGCAUGCAAAUGGUGAAAAUGCAUGGAUGGGCAUAGAUGGGAACACGGGUGCAAUCACUGAUAUGAAAGAGCGCAAGGUAAGAG